rnacentral:rRNA from 1 species
GAUGAACGCUAGCUACAGGCUUAACACAUGCAAGUCGAGGGGCAGCACUAGGUAGCAAUACUGAGGUGGCGACCGGCGCACGGGUGCGUAACGCGUAUCCAACCUUCCCGUUACUCAGGGAUAGCCUUCCGAAAAGGGAGAUUAAUACCUGAUGGUGUUCAAAAUUCCGCAUGUUAUUUGAACUAAAGAUUUAUCGGUAACGGAUGGGGAUGCGUGACAUUAGGUAGAUGGCGGGGUAACGGCCCACCAUGCCUACGAUGUCUAGGGGUUCUGAGAGGAAGGUCCCCCACACUGGAACUGAGACACGGUCCAGACUCCUACGGGAGGCAGCAGUGAGGAAUAUUGGUCAAUGGUCUGACGACUGAACCAGCCAUGCCGCGUGAAGGAAACGGCCCUAUGGGUCUUAAACUUCUUUUGUAAGGGAGCAAUAAGCGCCACGUGUGGCGUGAUGAGAGUACCUUACGAAUAAGCAUCGGCUAACUCCGUG